rnacentral:lncRNA from 1 species
CCUCUGUAAAGUAAAAAUAUAGUAUUCGUCACAAUUAUUCGUCACAAAUUUGUUAUAAUUUGGUUCGUCCUAUUACAAAACUGCUAUAUGUUUGAAAAACUCUAUACUAACCAGGAUGUCCCACAGCAGCAGCUACAUUUCGCCAAGCCAAAUCUUUCUUCACCCGAUCGCGGUAACUAAGCUGUCGUUUGUCCCACAAGCAGUUGUGUUUUUCAAUCUCUGCUAUAAGUUUUUCUUCGAACAUCUUGCACUAAAGCUUCCGAUAUACCAACCAACACACAAGAAUCGGAUAAUACAGCAGCCGGAACGAUAAAAAAUUGAAUAUUACGCCUUAUAAACACGGGUGGAAGUGGCACAGGCAAAUGAAACUUUAUGAAAACCAACGAAUCUGGUGGCUGGAACGAUAAAAAGCAAGUUGAAUAUUACGCCUUAUAAACACGGGUGGAAGUGGCACAGGCAAAUGAAACUUUAUGAAAACCAACGAAUCUGGUGGCCGGAACGAUAAAAAGCAAGAACGCGAUAAAAACUGCACACAAGCAAAAUCGACGCGAAAAAU